GACGAACGCUGGCGGCGUGCCUAAUACAUGCAAGUAGAACGCACAGUUUAUACCGUAGCUUGCUACACCAUAGACUGUGAGUUGCGAACGGGUGGGUAACGCGUAGGUAACCUGCCUGGUAGCGGGGGAUAACUAUUGGAAACGAUAGCUAAUACCGCAUAAUAUUGAUUAUUGCAUGAUAAUUGAUUGAAAGAUGCUAUUGCAUCACUACCAGAUGGACCUGCGUUGUAUUAGCUAGUAGGUGGGGUAACGGCUCACCUAGGCGACGAUACAUAGCCGACCUGAGAGGGUGAUCGGCCACACUGGGACUGAGACACGGCCCAGACUCCUACGGGAGGCAGCAGUAGGGAAUCUUCGGCAAUGGACGAAAGUCUGACCGAGCAACGCCGCGUGAGUGAAGAAGGGUUUCGGAUCGUAAAGCUCUGUUGUAAGAGAAGAACGGGUGUGAGAGUGGAAAGUUCACACUGUGACGGUAUCUUACCAGAAAGGGACGGCUAACUACGUG
rnacentral:rRNA from 1 species